GUUAGACUCCUGAGUGGUGGCAGGGUUGAGAUAAAAUCGAAAGUACGCAGCUGAUUUGAAAGUGAAACUGGGCAUUGCUUCAGAAUCUCGGCAGCGUACAGCACCUCCGGGUUUCUCCGCUCUAAAAACUAAAACUUUUCCAUCCAAACUUCACUCCCCGGGUCUUGCCAGCUUUCCUCUGCGUCAGCGCCCUUUACCCGGGGCUAUGGUAGACGUGGGGCUGUGUCUGGAGGCUCUCUCGGCUCUUUCCGGGUGCUCCGUGCAGCAGAGUGGCGGGGCGUCGUUGCUCGGCCCGCAGGACUUCGUGAACAUCGUGGCUCUGCGGCAGUUCUACAAACGGGAGGGUCUGCAGCAGCUGGAGUACCCGAGUCUGGGCUCCCUGUCGCUCCGGGAUGAAACCGUUAACCUGGACAUGAACGAUCUGUACAGCGCCCCUCCCGCGCUCCAAGGCCCCGAGCCCGACGCCAAAACCGUGAUCCACAUCAACCCGGGGGACUUCUUCGACCGACAUUACGACUACGACUUCUCCAAUGUUAAGGAUGGAGAGCAGCGCUUUGUCCGUGGUAACGAGCCAUAUUUUCGCCCGUGCGGUUGGCGGCGUGUGGCCCUGAAAGUCUCAGGACAAUAUGACGACGGCUCCGACGUUUGGCUCGGAACUGGCUCCCAGGCCUGGCCUGUGUCCUACCAGGGCCUGCACAUGGACGGCUCCCUCAUCCUCACCCGCAGGAAGGGGAGUGAGGAGGAUGGUGGGCUAGAUGAGGUGGCUCAGUCGUUGAUGGAUACCAGUGCUUUUGGGAGAGGGGUCUACUCCACUCCGGAUGUGCUCCUCGCUGAAAAGUACUGCAAGACCUUCAAGUCCAAAAUUGAUGGAAAAACCUACAAAGUCCUGCUCCAGAACCGGAUCAGCCCGAGCAAGAGAAAGGUUUGUCAGAGGGACCGGGUCUGGGUGGUCUACGUGCCUCAGGACCAUAGCCAAGUACAGACCAAGGCUUUAGUCCAGGAGUCAGUGAGACCCUACGGGCUGCUGCUCAAAGAGGCGUGAGACCAACCUGAGUCCGACCCAAGUCCAGCCUGAGUCCCACCCGAGUCCGACCUGAGUCCAGCUCGAAUCCGACCCGAGUCCGGGCCUGAGUCCAACCAGACCUAAAGACUGCACUGUUGUCAUGGUGAUGGGAUUCGGGACUACGCUGUUGUCAUGGUGAUGGGAUUAGAACCAGUGGUGGUUUAUAAAGCGAUUAAUGAUUUGAUUCAUUGACUAGACAAAUGAUUUUAUAAAUUAUCAAAGAGAUAAAAGUUUAAACAUAUUGGGCGAAAUACUGAUGUAUUAUUGAUGAAAAUGAGAAAUUGAUUAUUUUUUGACAUUUGAUUUAAAGCGAGGGGUAUUUUGCUUCUACAUAACACAUUUAGAUCAACUUGUUUCCUUUUAUUGUCUUCAAAAUGCUAUAUUCAUUGUUUAUUUUUUGUUUCUGGUGGGAAAUUGUGAUAUCACAGUAGGAAGCUGCAGGAGGCCAACACUGCUCUUCUAAUGUACACAGAGAUUAAUAUUUGACAAAUAUAAGAAAACACCUUUAAAUUGUGUGUAAACUUUUGGACAGAAUUCUCUCAGUCCAAUGUCAUCAGUGUGGAACUUGUACUUUCUGUAAUUUUCAACAUAUUAUAUUAUAUACUAUAUUUUAUAUUGUGGAGGCUUUUACAUGUUUUUACCUUUGAUACAGGUUAGAUUUAAUAAAGGGAGACACUGUAGGUGAAUAGGACAAAAAAAAAAAAAAAAACACAUUUAGAGAUGUCAAUUUGAAACUUAUUCUGUCGUUUACUCAUAUAAAUGUAAGAAAAAAGUAUUAAAAUUUUUUAAUGUUGUGAUUUUCAUGUAAAAAUAAGGUGUUUUAUGUGUAAAAACAGCCACCAUUGACCAGGUUUAAAUUUCUUGCUUCAUUUUGUUUUCAUAGAUACAAAAAAUAUACAGAACAGACUUUUGAGUAAAUUACAGCUGACUGAGAAACUGCCAAAAAUGUUUUAUUUCGCCGCACUUUUUUGGAAUUAAAACUUCAAAAAGUCCUUCUUUACGAUUCAUCAGAAUGUGAAGUUUGGUGUAGAUGCUACUUUACAGGGUGGUCUUUAGGUCCUAUGGGGGAAAUGCCUCUGAUGUCCCAUGUAACUCUAUGGAGGCAAGCUGAGUAAAUUAAAUAUUAAAGCAACUUUUGGUGCAGAGUAGAUCAUUUGGUUGUUUCCACAUAAAAACGCAUAUGCUAAGAGACCAAACUGACCAAAAAACUUAACACAGAAAAAAAAGUUUUGCAUGUAGUGUCUCCCCUGAGAUGCAUUUUUUCAGCUGUUUGUUUGCUUGUGCAUUUAUUUCCCUGGCAUUUGGAUUCUCAGCUCUGGAUGUGUAAAAAAAACAUGGAUGGUUGACUCUAGACCAGGGAUGGGCAAACCUUUGGUCACACAGGCCACAAUGGGUUCUUAAAUAUGACGGACGGGCCGGGCC
ensembl:lncRNA